rnacentral:rRNA from 1 species
UCUUCCCUCUGGCGGCGUGCCUAAUACAUGCAAGUCGAGCGAACAGAUAAGGAGCUUGCUCCUUUGACGUUAGCGGCGGACGGGUGAGUAACACGUGGGUAACCUACCUAUAAGACUGGGAUAACUUCGGGAAACCGGAGCUAAUACCGGAUAACAUUUGGAACCGCAUGGUUCUAAAGUGAAAGAUGGUUUUGCUAUCACUUAUAGAUGGACCCGCGCCGUAUUAGCUAGUUGGUAAGGUAACGGCUUACCAAGGCGACGAUACGUAGCCGACCUGAGAGGGUGAUCGGCCACACUGGAACUGAGACACGGUCCAGACUCCUACGGGAGGCAGCAGUAGGGAAUCUUCCGCAAUGGGCGAAAGCCUGACGGAGCAACGCCGCGUGAGUGAUGAAGGGUUUCGGCUCGUAAAACUCUGUUAUUUGGGAAGAACAAAUGUGUAAGUAACUGUGCACGUCUUGACGGUACCUAAUCAGAAAGCCACGGCUAACUACGUG